UUUAAACCUAAGGUCCACGCAGUUCAAAA
rnacentral:piRNA from 1 species